rnacentral:rRNA from 1 species
AAGUCGUACAGGUCUCCGUAGGUGAACCUGCGGAGGGAUCAUUACACAAAUAUGAAGGCGGGCUGGAACCUCUCGGGGUUACAGCCUUGCUGAAUUAUUCACCCUUGUCUUUUGCGUACUUCUUGUUUCCUUGGUGGGUUCGCCCACCACUAGGACAAACAUAAACCUUUUGUAAUUGCAAUCAGCGUCAGUAACAAAUUAAUAAUUACAACUUUCAACAACGGAUCUCUUGGUUCUGGCAUCGAUGAAGAACGCAGCGAAAUGCGAUAAGUAGUGUGAAUUGCAGAAUUCAGUGAAUCAUCGAAUCUUUGAACGCACAUUGCGCCCUUUGGUAUUCCAAAGGGCAUGCCUGCUCGAGCGUCAUUUGUACCCUCAAGCUUUGCUUGGUGUUGGGCGUCUUGUCUCUAGCUUUGCUGGAGACUCGCCUUAAAGUAAUUGGCAGCCGGCCUACUGGUUUCGGAGCGCAGCACAAGUCGCACUCUCUAUCAGCAAAGGUCUAGCAUCCAUUAAGCCUUUUUUUCAACUUUUGACCUCGGAUCAGGUAGGGAUACCCGCUGAACUUA